GACGAACGCUGGCGGCGUGCUUAACACAUGCAAGUCGAACGAUGAAGCCGGAGCUUGCUCUGGUGAAUUAGUGGCGAACGGGUGAGUAACACGUGAGUAACCUGCCCUUGACUCUGGGAUAACUGCUAGAAAUGGUAGCUAAUACCGGAUACGACCCUCGGCGGCAUCGCCAGGGGGUGGCAAGAAUUUCGGUCAAGGAUGGACUCGCGGCCUAUCAGCUAGUUGGUGAGGUAACGGCUCACCAAGGCGACGACGGGUAGCCGGCCUGAGAGGGUGGCCGGCCACACUGGGACUGAGACACGGCCCAGACUCCUACGGGAGGCAGCAGUGGGGAAUAUUGCACAAUGGGCGCAAGCCUGAUGCAGCAACGCCGCGUGAGGGAUGACGGCCUUCGGGUUGUAAACCUCUUUUAGUAGGGAAGAAGCGAAAGUGACGGUACCUGCAGAAAAAGCACCGGCUAACUACGUGCCAGCCGCCGCAGUAA
rnacentral:rRNA from 1 species